GAUGAACGCUGGCGGCGUGCCUAAUACAUGCAAGUCGAACGAGUUCUCGUUGAUGAUCGGUGCUUGCACCGAGAUUCAACAUGGAACGAGUGGCGGACGGGUGAGUAACACGUGGGUAACCUGCCCUUAAGUGGGGGAUAACAUUUGGAAACAGAUGCUAAUACCGCAUAGAUCCAAGAACCGCAUGGUUCUUGGCUGAAAGAUGGCGUAAGCUAUCGCUUUUGGAUGGACCCGCGGCGUAUUAGCUAGUUGGUGAGGUAAUGGCUCACCAAGGCGAUGAUACGUAGCCGAACUGAGAGGUUGAUCGGCCACAUUGGGACUGAGACACGGCCCAAACUCCUACGGGAGGCAGCAGUAGGGAAUCUUCCACAAUGGACGCAAGUCUGAUGGAGCAACGCCGCGUGAGUGAAGAAGGCUUUCGGGUCGUAAAACUCUGUUGUUGGAGAAGAAUGGUCGGCAGAGUAACUGUUGUCGGCGUGACGGUAUCCAACCAGAAAGCCACGGCUAACUACGUGCCAGCAGCCGCGGUAAUACGUAGGUGGCAAGCGUUAUCCGGAUUUAUUGGGCGUAAAGCGAGCGCAGGCGGUUUUUUAAGUCUGAUGUGAAAGCCCUCGGCUUAACCGAGGAAGCGCAUCGGAAACUGGGAAACUUGAGUGCAGAAGAGGACAGUGGAACUCCAUGUGUAGCGGUGAAAUGCGUAGAUAUAUGGAAGAACACCAGUGGCGAAGGCGGCUGUCUGGUCUGUAACUGACGCUGAGGCUCGAAAGCAUGGGUAGCGAACAGGAUUAGAUACCCUGGUAGUCCAUGCCGUAAACGAUGAAUGCUAGGUGUUGGAGGGUUUCCGCCCUUCAGUGCCGCAGCUAACGCAUUAAGCAUUCCGCCUGGGGAGUACGACCGCAAGGUUGAAACUCAAAGGAAUUGACGGGGGCCCGCACAAGCGGUGGAGCAUGUGGUUUAAUUCGAAGCAUCGCGAAGAACCUUACCAGGUCUUGACAUCUUUUGAUCACCUGAGAGAUCAGGUUUCCCCUUCGGGGGCAAAAUGACAGGUGGUGCAUGGUUGUCGUCAGCUCGUGUCGUGAGAUGUUGGGUUAAGUCCCGCAACGAGCGCAACCCUUAUGACUAGUUGCCAGCAUUUAGUUGGGCACUCUAGUAAGACUGCCGGUGACAAACCGGAGGAAGGUGGGGAUGACGUCAAAUCAUCAUGCCCCUUAUGACCUGGGCUACACACGUGCUACAAUGGAUGGUACAACGAGUUGCGAGACCGCGAGGUCAAGCUAAUCUCUUAAAGCCAUUCUCAGUUCGGACUGUAGGCUGCAACUCGCCUACACGAAGUCGGAAUCGCUAGUAAUCGCGGAUCAGCACGCCGCGGUGAAUACGUUCCCGGGCCUUGUACACACCGCCCGUCACACCAUGAGAGUUUGUAACACCCGAAGCCGGUGGCGUAACCCUUUUAGGGAGCGAGCCGUCUAAGGUGGGACAAAUGAUUAGGGUG
rnacentral:rRNA from 1 species